GCACAAGUGGACAUUAGCAAGAUCUUGAAGCGAUAAAAAUAGCUUGUGCUUGCAACGUACCUUAAUGAAACGCUUUGUGACACUCCUGAUUGGAUGCGGACUUAUAAAAGGAAAACUACACGAUGUUCUUACACUACUGACGACUUGAAUAAUGCUGCGAAGGCUGUCAAUGAUGAGGGGAAAAUUGUGAAUGCCGCCGCAAAAUAAUUCGGUAUCAAGCAGAUGACUUUGAAAAGAUUUUUAAAGAAAUUAAAAGAUGGUGAUUCAUCAAUGGGUUAUGCAAAACUGAGGCAAGUUUUUUCUUCCCAACAAGCGG